rnacentral:rRNA from 1 species
GCUUGUCUCAAAGAUUAAGCCAUGCAUGUCUUAGUGUAAAUAACUCUUAUGAAACUGCGAAUGGCUCAUUAAAUCAGUUAUCAAAUACGUGAUGGUCGCCUACUACAUGGAUAACCGUAGUAAUUCUAGAGCUAAUACAUGCACAAAGUCCCGACUUCUGGAAGGGAUGUAUUUAUUAGAUACAACCAACCCCUCUGGGUUUUUGGUGAAUCAUAAUAACUGAGCGAACCGCAUGCGCAAGCGGCGGUGGUUCAUUCAAGUUUCUGCCCUAUCAGCUUUCGAUGGUAGGGUAUUGGCCUACCAUGGCGUUAACGGGUAACGGAGAAUUAGGGUUCGAUUCCGGAGAGGGAGCCUGAGAGAUGGCUACCACAUCCAAGGAAGGCAGCAG